CAGUCGCCGCGGGAAUACAGAGGGUGCAAGCGUUAAUCGGAAUUACUGGGCGUAAAGCGCGCGUAGGUGGUUCGCCAAGUUGGAUGUGAAAUCCCCGGGCUCAACCUGGGAACUGCAUCCAAAACUGGCGAGCUAGAGUAUGGUAGAGGGUGGUGGAAUUUCCUGUGUAGCGGUGAAAUGCGUGGAUAUAGGAAGGAACAUCAGUGGCGAAGGCGACCACCUGGACUGAUACUGACACUGAGGUGCGAAAGCGUGGGGAGCAAACAGGAUUAGAUACCCCCGUAGUCCCUGUCUCUUAUAA
rnacentral:rRNA from 1 species